AUUGAACGCUAGCGGGAUGCUUUACACAUGAAAGUCGAAAGAGUGGCGGACGGGUGAGUAAUAUAUCGGAACGUGCCCAGUAGCGGGGGAUAACUACUCGAAAGAGUGGCUAAUACCGCAUAAUAUUGGCACUGCCGAGAUCGGAUUAGCUGUUUGGUGGGGUAAAGGCUCACCAAGGCAACGAUACGUAGCUGGUUUGGGAGGACGACCAGCCACGCUGGAACGGAGAAACGUCACAGACGCGUACGGGAGGCAGCAGUGGGGAAGUUUGGACAAUGGGGGAAACCCUGAUCCAGCCAUCCCGCGUGUAUGAGAAGGCCUUCGGGUGGUAAAGUACUUUUGGCAGAGAAGCGGUGUCUGCAGAAUAAGCACCGGCUAACUACGUGCCAGCAGCCGCGGUAAUUC
rnacentral:rRNA from 1 species